CACUAGAGAAAGAGAGUGAGAGGAGAGAGUAGCUUUGAAGGUGAAAGCCCAAGAAGGAGUUCUUGAGCUGUAAAGGUCCAUCUUCUUCCUUCUCCAUUUCAGCCAACCUUCUACCUCCUUGCGAGCUAGCACUCCCCGGGAAGCUGAUCAUUUCGGAGCUUCGCGUGGACGAGUCAUCGAGGCCGGACGCUUGUGCGGCUGCGAAGCAUCCUUGAAGGAACCCCCUUCUAAAGGUAAGAGACCUGAUCUCUUUUACGGUUGAGAUAUGAUCUCAAUCUUCAAAUCACAAGAAGUUGUGAUUUAUGCAUAUUUAUUCGAAUCACACAAUCCUCGAGAUCUGAGGGCUUUGUGAUAUUUGGUGUCAAAGCAAAGGAUUAGUGGAGACUAUCCGAUUCUCGGGAAUUCUCACGCGUGAUCGUGUGACGAAGCGUGGCUCUCCAUCCGGAGGCUCAUAUGAUGAGUGCUUUGGUAGGCACGCGCGGGUGUCACCCUAUGUAUUGGGACUGAGCCCGCGCCACAUGUGAUGUGCAGUUGAAGACUAUCUUCGACUGGUACCAGAGUUAAAAUAUCUAAAAUAUCAAGCAUGUUAUGGGUUAAAAUGCUUAACCCGUUCUUUCCGCAUAAAAAUUUUCUGAAAUUCAUGCUUAGCCCUCUGCACGCAUACUAUCAGGAUCAUCAUGACGGAUGAUGAUCGAUCUGAAAAGAUUAGUGCAUAGAUCACUUUCUUUGAUGGACGAGUCUUGAAUCCAUAGUAUAGGGACACUUGAGUGAUUGUGCAAGUGCUUGUUAGAAAAUAAGGGUACUAAGCAUGACCAAAGCAAGAAGUCACUUGGAUAUAUAUCUACUCGUCAGUGACUUACUUGAUGCUGCAGUUGUAUGACUGGUACUUAGACCGGCGAUGCCUCAGCUAUUUACGGUGAGGUUGCUGUAGUUUGACGAGCACAUAAACAUGGGCCCUAUCCAUACGGAUCCUUGUGGUGUAGAUUAGCUUCAGUAGGCUCACUGUCGGAUUGGGUUGCAUCUAGAUGGAAUCUAUCAAUCUUGAUAAAUAGGAGUGAUCCUAUAAAAUUUAUGGGACUAAGUUCGAAAUAUCUUGGCCAGGGCAGUUUUGGAAAAAGAGUUUUUCAAUCUCGAACUGGAGUCUAAUAAAUUUUGACAUAUGACAGACAAUGAAAUUUGAUGAGGACCGAUCAAAGCUCUCGAAUCUUCCCAGGGUGCUAGCUCCCUUGCAGAGAUGUCUUUUGAUGGCUGAAAACCUUCUUUUGAAUCAACUCUUGAUUGCCUUAGGAAGGAUGAAGAAGAAGGACAGAUCAAAGAAAAAGAACAAAGCCCUUGCAGCCUUUCCUUUUCCUUUGCGUUGGAACCAAAGAAGAGAAGGAAGGAGGGUCACUGAUAAGUGCUAAAUAAUGUAUAAAUUAAUAUCUUAUUCAUAGCACUUAUCAUUAUUUUAAUUCACAUAUUUUGUAAAUUCAACUAAAAAAAUGUGUUACCUUCAUCAUUGCAUUUUAAUAAAUUAUUAAAGGUAAUUCGAGUUUUACUUAUUUAUUUACUGAUUGAGCUUAAUGUAUGCAGGUCAAGUCAAGCUUAAUUAGGUAAAGCCUAAACUGACACUGCAUCAUUUCACA
rnacentral:lncRNA from 1 species